rnacentral:tRNA from 1 species
GCCUCUAUAGCUCAGUGGCAGAGCACUGGUCUCGUAAACCAGGGGUCGUGAGUUCGACUCUCACUGGAGGCA